GACGUAGGGCGCGAGCGUUGUCCGGAUUUAUUGGGCGUAAAGAGCUCGUAGGCGGCUCGUCGCGUCGGUGGUGGAAUUCCGCAGCUUAACUGUGGGCUUGCCGCCGAUACGGGCGGGCUGGAGUUCGGUAGGGGAGACUGGAAUUCCUGGUGUAGCGGUGAAAUGCGCAGAUAUCAGGAGGAACACCGGUGGCGAAGGCGGGUCUCUGGGCCGAUACUGACGCUGAGGAGCGAAAGCGUGGGGAGCGAACAGG
rnacentral:rRNA from 1 species